GCAUGAAGCCUGCUUGUCCCUCAUUCUUCUCCUCUGCUCCUCCUCCUCUUGUGCUCACUACUUCUCUCUCUCUCUCUAAAAUCACUCACUCACUCACUCACUCACUCACUCACUCACUCACUAACUCUUUAAACAAACUAUAAUACUGUCAUCAACACAGCCUGGUGCUUGAGAGCCCAGAUUCUGGAGCCAGACUGCCUGGAUUCAAGGUCCAUUUUUUUAUACCACCAGCUCUGUGACCUUAGGUAAAAGAUAAAAUAGGAUAUUGCACCCAUUAUUCUUUGUUAAGCCUCUAUUGAACAGCAGACCUGAAGCAAAGAUCAGAGACGCUGGGAACUUAUGGAGGGUGUUGACAGAUGUCUCAUAUAUAUCCUGAUCCAUGAUAAAGGAGUCUGGCUAAACGGAGCCCCACUCAUUGGCAUCACACUAUUGAUCACCACCAAACACCAGUAGAUCCUUUUUAUUCUGCAAACAUUAUCUACUAUUAUGAAUAAGAAUAUCAUCUUACCAUCUCUCCCAGAGCACAGAAGCAAAUACAAAGGAAGAAUCCUGUAAUUUUAACUGCAUCAAGCUGUCCUGAGCUCUGUUCAUCAGAGAAUUCAAUUCUGCUGAAUAAUUCUCCAUAGGCACGAAUGAUAAAAGAGGGGAUUAUUACCCAUCUGUUUGCCCUCUCGGCUUUUGUCCAGCCCUUAUUGUCUUCUCAAGCUGGAUCCAUCUGAUUAAUUUAGUGACGCAGGAAGGCAUCACCAAAUAUGAGCACAUUCCCAGGCCCUGGGAGCCUCUUGCCACACUGAGGCAGAGUGACACAGGGUAUUCUGCCUUGGAGCAUUUCAGCAAACUGGGGCUGGAAUAAGAUAUUUAAGAUCAAGGCCAUGACAUCUGUGGCUGGGAAAGGGCCAACAGAGAUCAUUUUUAUCUUCUGCUGCACACAUGCAAUCUAUUCAUCACAGGCAUCAAGAUCUUGACUGAGCAGCCAGAAAAAGCACAAGAGCUCUCAUCUCCUCUGUUUAUAUUAUUUUGCCUUGUUUUUCCUUACAAGCUAAUAUAAGAUUUUUUCAAGUCUGUGCAAGACUUUGCCAGGGCCCUUGUUUCCAGGAGACAAAUUUGAAUGGGAUUUGGGCAGAAAAGAAGGGAGACUCUGAACCAUUAGAGUUCCUGAUUUCCAGGUUGUAGAAUUCAGGGGUCAUUCUUUUAGGGAAAUGGACGUGAUUGUCAAAUGUUCCAACCUAAACAGAAAAUAAAAUAAUUUGUUUACAUGCAAACACUUCCACUUAAACUUCAUGUGAAAAGCCCAUCCAUUUCUUUCUCUAAUCUAUUCUCUUCGAGGCCAGAAUUCUAGAUUAUAAAAGUUUACAUUAGAAUCAAAACAUUUUCAUUGGUGAAAAUUGUCUUUUACUUAUUUUGUGACUUUUCUGGACCCUAUUAUAGAGUAGAAAUUGUAGCUGUACUUACAUGCUUCCAACUCACACUCUUAGAUCCAGUAGGAUGUAUAAGAGAACCACUAUGUUAUUAGAGAUUCUGAGUUCAAUUCCAGGCUUUCAAACUAACCACCAUGUCUGCUUCCCUUCCCUGGGCUUCCUUUUCCUUGCCUGAGAAAUGAUAUAGUUAGACAACAUUGUUUCUGAAGUCCCUUACUGUUCUGAAAGUUUCUUUUCCUGGAGGGUAUUUGCUUCUAGUGGCAUUUACACUAUGUAUUAACAAUUUCUCUGUAUUGAUUUUGUGGCUACUCUAUUAAAUAGAAACAUGCUUAUCUUUGUCUUCAUGAGUGUAAUAGAGGCUAAAGUGGAGAAGGUGACAUGACCUUCACCCUUUAAAGGCACAUUAUCCUGAGCAACUUCUGAGCUCUGCUUCUAAUCUACUUUUGAUUAUGUCUCUUCUUUCACUAAAGACACAGCAAUAAGAACUUCAGAAAGAAGAUGCCUAUUAUGUUUUCACACUCCCCCACUUUCAUUUAAAAUGUGCUGCUAUCAUGCACUUAUUUUAUAAUUUACCAUUAAUCUCUGUGACACUGCCGUGAUCAGGAUUUCAGAACAUUUCUGAAAGGUGCAUUGUCUCAUACUGCUUUUGUACAGUGAAUUGCAUUUUGCUGCUAUCCACUUUCAAGAUUGCUGAAGCACACUCAUAAUGGGUUAUCAUGAUCCCAGGUAAAAGCAACCCAGCAACACCGAAUUACAUACUCAGGCUUCUCUACCAGGAUCUUACUUUACUUUUAGAUGUAAAGAACUGGCCUCGCCCUGCACUUUUUCAGGAUCUACGAGAAUAGUAUAAUGAACUAUUAAGAUCAAGCCUCAGAAUUCAGCUCUUCUGAAGUCCUGGGUAGUGAUACUACCUUUGUAUUUACAUUUUGUAAGGACAAAAGGGAGAGGAGUAGUAAUUGACAUUUAUUAUGUCCCUUCUAUCAUAUAUUCCAAAUGCUACAUUAGGUGCAUCUAACUCACCCUUGCUCACCCAAGCCCCUCCAGCAAACUGUGAAGCAGGGAGUAUUAUGGCCAUGCUACUGACGAGAGACUAAAGUUUGGAGAUGUUUUGCAAAUUACUGAAUAUUGCACAAGAAGGAAAUACAGAACCUUGACUUGAACCCAGGUCUAUUUGUUUAGCAAAACCCAUAUGGUGGGUUUGUGAUUUCUUCAUCCUUUUUAAAUUUUUAAAAUGUCCAUUCUGCAUACAUAAUAUAUUUCUUACAUUUGGUUUUUUUUUCAUUUUUUUCAUUUAUUCUUAUUUCUUUAUUGUAGUAGCAUGAUUUCAUUUUCUACCAUGCAAUUAUCCACCAAUAUAGUAUGCAAUCUUCCAUCUUUUGGAGUUUGCUGUUCCCUUGUCUGCCAUCUUAUAAGGACCACGUUUCUGCAAAUAUUUUUAGAUCUGGCACAGGGUCUUUGGGAAACCAACCAUAAUGGAGCCUGUAAUUCAUGUGUCUGAAAGUCCUUCCCUGAUAUAGACAGGUCUACUUGUCCUGCCUCUUUCAUCAAACAGGGGGAUAGAAGGGAGGAAGAACAGAGGCAAGUCUGUAAAAGAGCUGCUGGUAGAGAAUAACCGUUGGAGUCUUGUGAACAUGUUGAAUCAGCUUAAGAACUUAAUUUUUUUAAGUCAAUAAUAAAGAAGGUGAGAGUUUAGGGUUUUUUUUCCUAUCGUGGACACAGUUGUCUAUAUGAAUAAAAAUUGAAAACAGAGAUUGUGAAAAACUGCCAAAUGACCUAAAAACUAUGGAAAUUUCUUGCAAACACUAGACAGCGGAAAGUCAACACCAAAGGCAGUCUACAGGCUGCACGCAGGUGGAAAAUACUGAAGGUCACACAUAAUGUCAUUUUACCAGAUGUGCACAUCAGCGUAAAUAUAUGUUCUCAGCAAUCCUUAAGGCAGGGUGCUGGUGGAUAGAAAUGUAGACAGCAUCUAAGGACACAUCUUUGGCUUGUGCCAUCAAAUACUGAGAUUCAAUGUUCUUUUCACUCUUAUUAAGUUAACAGACACUAUAGUUCUAAGACAGAGAAUCCUGGGAAUAAAGUACCUUCUGAAAAUUAAUAGUUUUUAAAAUUUUUGACAAGAUCCAUGUUUCUGGGAGCAAGGAAUCCUUUGCAGGGUUGUGUGGGGUUUUUUUUUUGUUUUUGUUUUUGUUUUUGUUUUUGUUUUGUCAUUUAUGGUCUACAGCUGGAGCACUUUUCCAGGAUCCUAUAGCCUCUCCUGUUGCUAAGCCACACCUCAGAUAAAACAGUGAUCUAUAAUCUGGAGUUAUUAUGAAGAUUCAGUAUUUUGAAGCCAUUCUUGAGAAUUUGAUGAAUUUCAUUUUCUGUUUAGGAGAUUCUAGUUGCAUAUCUAGAAUUAGAUAGAAUAGAGUUAUUGUUCAUAUUCAAGUGAUUACCCAAAGGAAAUACUCCCUUCUUGCUGUUUCUCUAGGAGAAAAUAAUGAAUUCACACACACACACACACACACACACACACACACAGAUAUAAAGGAAAACUGCCAGAUAUGUUUAAAUCCAAAUUCCUGUUGGUACUUUGAUACUGGCAUUUGCUGUUCUUUGUGCUAAGAACAGAAAGUCCCAAUCUUUAAAACAUUUUGAAGGUAGUUUUAUCAAAUGACAAAUUAUCUCACAGCAAAGAGCCUAUCUCCCAUAUAAGAAUCAAAAACCUGCUUGAAAAGUCGAUAAAUAACAUCUAAUCCUUUGUUUCAUUUCACAAGCAGUUCAGAGAGAAAGAUGCUCUGUCUCAGUAUUUCUGAAGCCUGGCUACACAUUUGAAUCCCUCGGGUCUGUUUGUAACCUAGCAGAUUCGACCCGCCCUAAAGAUUUGGUUGUUUCUCUGGAUGGAGCUUGGGCUUUUUAUUUCUAAAAACUGCUCAGGUGAGUACAAUAGGCAGCUAGGCUUGAGCACUGCUUUGGGGGGACACUCAUCAAUGGAAUGCAGGACAGACAUGGAUGCUGGAAACAUGCAGUAGCAGCUGGAUGUCGGGGAGAGAGAGAGGCAAAGGAAGGCAGAUACUAGUUAGAUUUGAGCUCACCAGCAAUUACUGGAAAUAAUUAUUACUUAAUCUUCUUACUCCAUGGCAGUUACAUGGCAUAAUGGAAAGAUCUUGCCCCUGGCAUUGAGCAAGUGCCUAGUUUUCUGAUGUCAGGACCAUCCUGUUAAUUCAGAUUCAAAGACUCAGAGGCAAGCUUAGUAGAAUUGCUGCUUUAGUGAUGCUAUUUCCAAUAAUAUGCACAGAACCAUGAGUAUGAGGUCAACCUCACGUUGGCUAGAGCUGGGGGAACCAGAGGUAAAAAAAUUACAAAAUUUUAUUUGAACUUUUUUUCAUAUACAACGGAAUGUUACUGUGUUAUGAAAAAGAAUGCGAUCUUGCCAUUUAUGACAACAUCG